UGAGGAUGUCUCACAGCUAAACCUUAGA
rnacentral:piRNA from 1 species